rnacentral:rRNA from 1 species
AGUGAACGCUGGCGGUAGGCCUAACACAUGCAAGUCGAACGGCAGCACAGUAAGAGCUUGCUCUUACGGGUGGCGAGUGGCGGACGGGUGAGGAAUACAUCGGAAUCUACUUUUUCGUGGGGGAUAACGUAGGGAAACUUACGCUAAUACCGCAUACGACCUACGGGUGAAAGCAGGGGAUCUUCGGACCUUGCGCGAUUGAAUGAGCCGAUGUCGGAUUAGCUAGUUGGCGGGGUAAAGGCCCACCAAGGCGACGAUCCGUAGCUGGUCUGAGAGGAGGAUCAGCCACACUGGAACUGAGACACGGUCCAUACUCCUACGGGAGGCAGCAGUGGGGAAUAUUAGACAAUGGGCGCAAGCCUGAUCCAGCCAUACCGCGUGGGUGAAGAAGGCCUUCGGGCUGUAAAGCCCUUUUGUUGGGAAAGAAAAGCAGCAGGUUAAUACCCCGCUGUUCUGACGGUACCCAAAGAAUAAGCACCGGCUAACUUCGUG